GGGUUGUGAGGUUAAGCGACUAAGCGUACACGGUGGAUGCCCUGGCAGUCAGAGGCGAUGAAGGACGUGCUAAUCUGCGAAAAGCGUCGGUAAGGUGAUAUGAACCGUUAUAACCGGCGAUGUCCGAAUGGGGAAACCCAGUGCAAUUCGUUGCACUAUCGUUAACUGAAUACAUAGGUUAACGAGGCGAACCGGGGGAACUGAAACAUCUAAGUACCCCGAGGAAAAGAAAUCAACCGAGAUUCCCCCAGUAGCGGCGAGCGAACGGGGAGCAGCCCGGAGUCUGAAUCAGCUUGUGUGUUAGUGGAAGCGUCUGGAAAGUCGCAGGGUACAGGGUGAUACUCCCGUACACUAAAACACACAGGUUGUGAACUCGAAGAGUAGGGCGGGACACGUGGUAUCCUGUCUGAAUAUGGGGGGACCAUCCUCCAAGGCUAAAUACUCCUGACUGACCGAUAGUGAACCAGUACCGUGAGGGAAAGGCGAAAAGAACCCCGGCGAGGGGAGUGAAAAAGAACCUGAAACCGUGUACGUACAAGCAGUAGGAGCCCACUAGUUGGGUGACUGCGUACCUUUUGUAUAAUGGGUCAGCGACUUAUAUUCUGUAGCAAGGUUAACCGAAUAGGGGAGCCGCAGGGAAACCGAGUCUUAACUGGGCGUUAAGUUGCAGGGUAUAGACCCGAAACCCGGUGAUCUAGCCAUGGGCAGGUUGAAGGUUGGGUAACACUAACUGGAGGACCGAACCGACUAAUGUUGAAAAAUUAGCGGAUGACUUGUGGCUGGGGGUGAAAGGCCAAUCAAACCGGGAGAUAGCUGGUUCUCCCCGAAAGCUAUUUAGGUAGCGCCUCGUGAACUCAUCUUCGGGGUAGAGCACUGUUUCGGCUAGGGGGUCAUCCCGACUUACCAACCCGAUGCAAACUACGAAUACCGAAGAAUGUUAUCACGGGAGACACACGGCGGGUGCUAACGUCCGUCGUGAAGAGGGAAACAACCCAGACCGCCAGCUAAGGUCCCAAAGUCAUGGUUAAGUGGGAAACGAUGUGGGAAGGCCCAGACAGCCAGGAUGUUGGCUUAGAAGCAGCCAUCAUUUAAAGAAAGCGUAAUAGCUCACUGGUCGAGUCGGCCUGCGCGGAAGAUGUAACGGGGCUAAACCAUGCACCGAAGCUGCGGCAGCGACACUAUGUGUUGUUGGGUAGGGGAGCGUUCUGUAAGCCGUUGAAGGUGGCCUGUGAGGGUUGCUGGAGGUAUCAGAAGUGCGAAUGCUGACAUAAGUAACGAUAAUGCGGGUGAAAAACCCGCACGCCGGAAGACCAAGGGUUCCUGUCCAACGUUAAUCGGGGCAGGGUGAGUCGACCCCUAAGGCGAGGCCGAAAGGCGUAGUCGAUGGGAAACAGGUUAAUAUUCCUGUACUUGGUGUUACUGCGAAGGGGGGACGGAGAAGGCUAUGUUGGCCGGGCGACGGUUGUCCCGGUUUAAGCAUGUAGGCGGAUGUUCCAGGUAAAUCCGGAACGUUACUAACGCUGAGGUGUGAUGACGAGGCACUACGGUGCUGAAGUGACAAAUGCCCUGCUUCCAGGAAAAGCCUCUAAGCAUCAGGUAACAUCAAAUCGUACCCCAAACCGACACAGGUGGUCAGGUAGAGAAUACCAAGGCGCUUGAGAGAACUCGGGUGAAGGAACUAGGCAAAAUGGUGCCGUAACUUCGGGAGAAGGCACGCUGAUGGUAGGUGAAGUGACUUGCUCAUGGAGCUGAAAUCAGUCGAAGAUACCAGCUGGCUGCAACUGUUUAUUAAAAACACAGCACUGUGCAAACACGAAAGUGGACGUAUACGGUGUGACGCCUGCCCGGUGCCGGAAGGUUAAUUGAUGGGGUUAUCCUCGCGGAGAAGCUCUUGAUCGAAGCCCCGGUAAACGGCGGCCGUAACUAUAACGGUCCUAAGGUAGCGAAAUUCCUUGUCGGGUAAGUUCCGACCUGCACGAAUGGCGUAAUGAUGGCCAGGCUGUCUCCACCCGAGACUCAGUGAAAUUGAACUCGCUGUGAAGAUGCAGUGUACCCGCGGCAAGACGGAAAGACCCCGUGAACCUUUACUAUAGCUUGACACUGAACACUGGUCCUUGAUGUGUAGGAUAGGUGGGAGGCUUUGAAGUGUGGACGCCAGUCUGCAUGGAGCCGUCCUUGAAAUACCACCCUUUAAUGGCUGGUGUUCUAACGUGGGCCCCUAAUCGGGGUUGCGGACAGUGUCUGGUGGGUAGUUUGACUGGGGCGGUCUCCUCCUAAAGAGUAACGGAGGAGCACGAAGGUCAGCUAAUCCUGGUCGGACAUCAGGAGGUUAGUGCAAUGGCAUAAGCUGGCUUGACUGCGAGCGUGACGGCGCGAGCAGGUGCGAAAGCAGGUCAUAGUGAUCCGGUGGUUCUGAAUGGAAGGGCCAUCGCUCAACGGAUAAAAGGUACUCCGGGGAUAACAGGCUGAUACCGCCCAAGAGUUCAUAUCGACGGCGGUGUUUGGCACCUCGAUGUCGGCUCAUCACAUCCUGGGGCUGAAGUAGGUCCCAAGGGUAUGGCUGUUCGCCAUUUAAAGUGGUACGCGAGCUGGGUUUAGAACGUCGUGAGACAGUUCGGUCCCUAUCUGCCGUGGGCGCUGGAGAAUUGAGGGGGGCUGCUCCUAGUACGAGAGGACCGGAGUGGACGCAUCACUGGUGUUCGGGUUGUCAUGCCAAUGGCAUUGCCCGGUAGCUAAAUGCGGAAGAGAUAAGUGCUGAAAGCAUCUAAGCACGAAACUUGCCCCGAGAUGAGUUCUCCCUGACCCUUUAAGGGUCCUGAAGGAACGUUGAAGACGACGACGUUGAUAGGCCGGGUGUGUAAGCGCAGCGAUGCGUUGAGCUAACCGGUACUAAUGAACCGUGAGGCUUAACCUUACAACGCCGAAG
rnacentral:rRNA from 1 species